rnacentral:lncRNA from 1 species
GUGGUUCGAGGAAGAAGCUGCCAACAGCAAGAGACAUCCAUUUCCGCACGCUUCAAGAACAUCUACCCUUUCUUUAUAUCUGCGGCUAAAAAUCUAGUGAUAAAUUAACGAAAACAAGAAGUUAUUCUAAAUACUUACAAUGCUGACAGAGGCGAAUGUGGAAUUUUCUCAGCCGUGGCAUGACAAAUUAACAUAUGCAGACGACGAAAGGUAUAGCAAUAUCCUUAUGCAGGUGGGAUCUCUC